GGCGAGAAUACCAUGUUAAAUACGCGAGCUAUGACCUUUAUGACCUGACAUUUACAUAUAUCCAUUGACCCAGCCCGCGAAAUACCUCUUAUAUGACCUACAAUUUAUUUACUGUAUUAUUUAUUUAUAUUUCAAUUUUAAACUUGACUAAAAAUAAAAAUUAAAACGUAAACAAAGGAUAUUUUUAGGCUCGUCGACCACCAUCUUGCGCGGGUUGAUAUGGCGGACUUGGGGCUUGGCCAGACCUUCAAGCCAGCAGACCACACAUGCUUUGGGUGUAGAGGAAGACCUGGAGCUAAUUCUCAGAGGCCGGGACUAUUGUGAUGGCUGUUUCCAGUGGCCAUGAAGCAGCACGGCCGACGACGCAGCACAGAGGAAGGCAGCGUCCAGGAGGGUCAAGAUAGCCUGCUGUCCUCCUGAAGGCUUGGGGUCAACACAGACGCCCACAGACACACACAAGUUCCAGUUCUCCUCGGGCAGUCAGGUGUUCCCAGGGG